rnacentral:ncRNA from 1 species
UAUAAAAUUGUAAAACACGGAACCGGCCGUCACCCGGGCUGCACAGCAGUACAUUCUACCGCAUUGGAUCAUACCAUUACUAUUAUAAUUAUCAUCAUCAUUAUUAUAAUUAUUAUUAUUAUUAUUAUUAUUAUUAUUAUUAUUGUUACUAUUGUUAUUAUUAUUAUUAUUAUUACUAUUAUUGUUUCUCAACGACUCAAUAAAGGCCCAUUGGUACGCGUCACUAAUUAGGCUGACAGCAGCAGGCACUUUCCUCGGAGAGCGCCCUGCAAAUUCCGAAAUUAGCCAAAUGCCUCGUCAUCUAAUUAGUGACGCGUAUGAAUGGAUCAACAAGAUUCCUUCUGUCCCUAUCUACUAUCUAGCGAAACCACAGCCAAGGGAACGGGCUUGGCAAAAUCAGCGGGGAAAGAAGACCCUGUUGAGCUUGACUCUAGUCUGACUCUGUGAA